AUUGAACGCUGGCGGCAGGCCUAACACAUGCAAGUCGAGCGGAGCGGCGGUCGGGUGAGUCAUGCCUAGGUCUCUGCCUGUUCGUGGUGGAUAACGUCCGCUAACGGGCGCUAAUACCGCUUCCUAUCAGCUUCGCCUAGGUCGGAUUAGCUAGUUGGUGUGGUAAAGGCAUACCAAGGCGACGAUCCGUAACUGGUCUGAGAGGAUGAUCAGUAACACUGGAACUGAGACACGGUCCAGACUCCUACGGGAGGCAGCAGUGGGGAAUAUUGGACAAUGGGCGAAAGCCUGAUCCAGCCAUGCCGCGUGUGUGAAGAAGGUCUUCGGAUUGUAAAGCACUUUAAGGGGGGAGGCGGUACCAACAGAAUAAGCACCGGCUAACUUCGUGCCAGCAGCCGCGGUAAUAC
rnacentral:rRNA from 1 species